rnacentral:lncRNA from 13 species
CAAAACCUUGGGAAGAAUAGAAUCUGGGAACAAGGGCACUUGUGGCUCUUCUAGAGUGCUGCCACCAGGUGACCUGGCUCCAGUUGCCUUUCAUUCUUUUUGGACCCUGUUCAUUCCUGAGUUUAAAAAAAUAGAUUUGUCCAUCUUGGGUCAUAUCCCCUCUCCUAGGAUAGGGAUGGAGUCCUCUGGUUUAACAGCUUUGCCUAAACCACAAGGAACAGAGAAAGAACAGUUUUUUUUUAAAGGAGACUAGCAGCUGCUAUUUCCAUGAAUAGGGAAGAAGGCAAAACACAUGUCUGCUAUAAGCAUUUACUCUGUGUACUUACUCAGGGAGAGUAAGAUAUUCACUUUCAGUAAGGAAGUCCUGGUCUACUAAGGACUCAGGUAAGCAAUGGUGUCAGCCAAGUCACAGUGUGGUUACUGCUGUCACAAAGGGGCCAGAGAUGGCUUUGAGAGCUGGAGGAGGACAACUAACCCAGACUGAAUACCAGGAAGAUUUCUGCGGGAGAUGGCAUUGGAACUGAGCUCUGUGAGAUAAAUAAUGAGCUUGGUGAAGAAGUAGCAGUGGAAAAAUAAACAGCUCCCUUGGACCAAAUCAGCUUGCCAGAGACCAGAGCAGUUUCCACAACACUUAGACUCAUGGAUGGAGGGCUGUCAAAGGUCGGCCCUGAACUAGAAGCAGAUGGGAGAGGAUUCUUGCCAGAGACAUCAUCCAAACGUCUUGCUAUUCAGCGAUUAGAGGUUGAAUGUUCAGAGAAAGUGCAUCUGAUGCCUUAUUCACAACUGGAUCAACUGAAAUAACAACGAAAGGCAGCGUGUGCCUCAGGAGGGAUAAAUGGAGCAGCUGCCAGGAGAUUCAUGUUUGCCUUCUGGGGAGAGGACAGUGUCUCGCUCUGUCACCCAGGCUGGAGUGCAAUGGAGUGAUCUUGGCUCACUGCAACCUCCACCUCCCAGGUUCAAGUGAUUUUCCUGCCUCAGCCUCCUGAGUAGCUGGGACUACAGAUCUCCUGUAAGGAGUACCUGCUGGGAACCCAGAGAGGCCCACGAACUGCAAUUUGAGAACUGCUGGGACACCCAGCCCUACGGCAAGCACUUAAUAAAUGUUCAAGCAACUGCA